CGAGUCGACCGGGCGGUCGCGUCGGCGGGCCGGGUGCCCGCCGCCGAGGAACGUCCGGACUCCACAGGGCAGGGUGGUUGCUAACGGCAACCCGGGGCGACCCGCGGGACAGUGCCACAGAAAACAGACCGCCGUGCCGUAACGGCGCGGUAAGGGUGAAACGGUGGGGUAAGAGCCCACCAGCAUCCCGGGUGACCGGGGUGGCUCGGUAAACCCCACCCGGAGCAAGGCCAAGAGGGCCGCCGGCCGAGAGGUCGGCGACCUGCGCAGACGUUCGAGGGCGGCCCGCCCGAGUCUGCGGGUAGGCCGCAGGAGCCUGCCGGCGACGGCAGGCCGAGAUGGAUGGCCGCCGCCGACGCGGACCCCCGCACGGGGUACGCGUCGGGCACAGAAUCCGGCGUACAGGUCGACUCGUCCG
rnacentral:RNase_P_RNA from 1 species